AUGGGGGACUUUGAUGGUGAGCAAAAAGAAUUGAUCAAGAAAUUGGUAAACUUCCGCAUGAUCGAUGGUAAAAGAACGAGAGUUCGUGCUAUUGUUUAUAAAACUUUUCACCGCCUAGCUCGAACUGAACGCGAUGUAAUAAAACUUAAAGGGAUGCUAGUCGGCUUUGGCGAAGUGGGGCUGCUAGGGGGUGUAAAGUUUCGUUUCGGUCGUGUAAGCCCACCCGCCAGUUCGAAUAGCCGGUUUCCUCCCCUUCCGCUCAAGCUAAAGGCAUUCACUUAG
rnacentral:rRNA from 1 species